GACUUCGCCGAGCGCCAACGAUGACGUGUGCUGUUCCGAAGUUCCGGCGAAAAGGAGAGAUCGAGCUUCGACAGUAGAGGCUUCGAAAAGGCACGACGGCGAGGCGGCAGUCAACAGAGGAGACACGAUGCCAUGACGGCGGCGCUUAUCUAGCGUCGGCAGCCUUGUUCAGACGAAGUAGCAGAGACCGAGCUACAGCCGGUCCUUUCGAAGAGGUGAACUUUAACAGUUAGUGGUGACGAGGAGAUACUUUAUCAAGUGCUGUGAUAAUGGCGAUGGCAAUGUUGGACGAGACGUAGCACAGUCACGCAGCUUGCUGCCCGUUGCUUGGCAUUCAACGUCUGGACGAAGGUCUGAGACGGCGAGAAAAGGCGAUGGUGCAGUGAGUAACUUGUGUCGAACAUCCAGCGGCUGCGACUCGGUGCUCGGAGAGGAUGGAGUUUUGAAGCCGUUUGAAAACAUUGGAGAAGCAUCAUCCGACGCUGACCUCGACUAGUUAUAUGCCACAGCAAUAAUCAAAGUUUUGGAUUAACAUCUCUGUUGAGCUAUUCUCAGAAUGCAUCUCUUUUCUCGCUUCUGAUCUUUGCAUGUGUGUUUUCAACCAGCUUGCUUUGCCAUGAUUUCUUGGACGCGGAGGAGCCAAUGAUGAGAAGCAGCUGACGCAGCUCAUCCCCAUGCGACUGCGGUGAUGACUUGAGCUUGCAGACAUCCUCGCAGGUGCUGUUCUGGCAGAGAGAGCAAGGCGUGCAGACUCUAUCGGCAUCGGAGCUGUAGAGACUGGAAGGGAAGAAGCCUUGGGUGUAGUUGAAGUCACAAAGGGAGCAGAUGCUGAUAUCCUUCCUCACACACAAGCUCGUCAAAUCCGGCUCGUUGAGCAGGCAGACGUUGAAGCCGAACAUCCCCUCGCCGCAGCCGCCGGCUCUGCACAAUCCCGGGCUGCGGAGCUGCACUAGCGGAUUGUAGUUCACUUGAGAUGAUAUAUUAGCGAUCCAGCAAUCGAGAACCAGAUCGCUUUCUUUGAUCCCGCAGGUCAGCCACUCCGAUGAGCCGAUGGAGAGGAAACCGGCGCCUUUGGGGAUCAACGACACGUUGAAACUUCCCCAGCAACAGUUCACGCUCCAGCAAGAGGUGGUGGGUGGGCUGUGUCAGUUCUUGCUAAUUUUGGACCAGCAGCGGUUUGAAAGGUGGUCGUGCUUCCAGCAAGAGAUAUGAAAGUGCAGUUUUCAUGACUUUCAACAGAAGGAGAUAACUCCCCGUUGAUGUCCUAAAAAGGAAGCAAAUGGCAGAUCGAUGGUGGGGUUGAGGCACUGGCCUUACUGAUUUUUGAAGGCGGGGGUGCUUCGGCUGAGGUGGAGAUAUCGGAGUCUCUUCUACAGCAGGAUGAGGCGGCGAAGGGACUGUGCUUCAUCGAGGUGUGCAUCUGAAUUUGCCUCACUGGUCUUAUCUUUGAAGGUAGCAGCUUCUUCCCAUGAGGAGCAAUUUCAGCGAGGAGCAUUGUCGCCUUUUGCUUUGGUUUUGUGGCAAUUUUCGGCUUCUUCUUAGCGGGCGCAGCAGCUACUGGAACCGGCUUGGAGCGUGAUGGCGGUAUUUGGCUUUGGCUUUGCAGCAGUCUCUAGCUUCUUCUCAGCGGGCGUAGCAGCAGUCGGAACCGGCUUGGGGCACAGAAGGAGUGGAGUUGAGAAGCUUCUCGUCGGAUUUCAGGAUGUGGGGACCGAAGCGGAGAAAGCACGAUGGCAAACCAUGGCAGCAGUGCGACAUCUAGCAGCGGCGACGUCGUGGAUUCGAGUCCAUGAAGAGUGGUAGCCUUGUGGACGUCCAUAAUUUCAGCGGUGGCGUUUCGCAGAAGAUCCAAGUCUUCGAAGCGGCAGCAGCAGUUCUCGAAUAAAGGAGGGAAGGGCUGUUGUUGAAGCUCUUGCUGUCGACAAAGAAAGUCAACGGCGGCGGUGCUCUUUCAGCGGGCAGCAGCGGAAUUUUGGGGAGAGAAGGGAAGUUAGCGGUGCACAGCUGACCUCAAUGCCAGAUGACUCAAUUCUUUGACAGGUCUUGGGUGCGCUCGGACCUAGGAUUGUUCGACUCUGGUUUGAGUGAGGUUGUUGUUGUUAUGUUUGGCAUCUCACGAAGUUGGGAGAAUUCUGCACAGUGGCUCGAGAAGAUUAAGUCUUCUCUUCUUGACGCUUAAGCCAAGGAGAAUGAAGCCAUCGUCUGAAUUGCUUUGAUCAAGGAAGAGCUUUGCUAUGAUAAAGAUGUGGAAGACGGAGAUGAAGUUGUUCUUCAAGCAAGAUAGUGCCUUCUUUCAUAUUGUUCGAGGUGCAAUCCAAGAAUUCAAAAGAGAGUUUGACAAACAUAAAGCUGCGCCUAUUGAUGAGGAAAUGCUGAGGAAUUUGAAGGCUUCAGAAUCACUUUUGAUCUCUGCUCAGAGAGCUUUGGAGGAUCAAGACCAUUUGCGUAGUAUUGGUGCAAACCAUAGUUUCUAUCAUUUUUCUUUUGAUGAUUCUCAUUUAGUUUGUGAUGGAUAUUUUGACAUCUUCUCCAAAUGUUUGUGCUUCUUUUGAUGACUUGAUUUCUUUGCUAUUUUGGAAUGAAACGUAUUUGGCUUCACAUAAUCAACUUAAAUCAUAAC